rnacentral:rRNA from 1 species
GACGAACGCUGGCGGCGUGCCUAAUACAUGCAAGUCGAGCGAGCGGAACUAACAGAUUUACUUCGGUAAUGACGUUAGGAAAGCGAGCGGCGGAUGGGUGAGUAACACGUGGGGAACCUGCCCCAUAGUCUGGGAUGCCACUUGGAAACAGGUGCUAAUACCGGAUAAGAAAGCAGAUCGCAUGAUCAGCUUUUAAAAGGCGGCGUAAGCUGUCGCUAUGGGAUGGCCCCGCGGUGCAUUAGCUAGUUGGUAAGGUAAGGCUUGCCAAGGCGAUGAUGCAUAGCCGAGUUGAGAGACUGAUCGGCCACAUUGGGACUGAGACACGGCCCAAACUCCUACGGGAGGCAGCAGUAGAGAAUCUUCCGCAAUGGGCGAAAGCCUGACGGAGCAACGCCGCGUGAGUGAUGAAGGUCUUCGGAUCGUAAACUCUGUUUA